ensembl:lncRNA
UGUGGUCUAAUCUAGCGGUGUUGUGGUCUAAUCUAGCGGUGUUGUCUAAUCUAGUGGUGGUGCCUGUGGUCUAAUCUAGCGGUGUUGCCUGUUGUCUAAUCUAGCGGUGGUGUCUGUGGUCUAAUCUAGUGGUGGUGCCUGUGGUCUAAUCUAGCGGUGUUGUCUAAUCUAGCGGUGUUGUCUGUGGUCUAAUCUAGCGGUGUUGCCUGUGGUCUAAUCUAGCGGUGGUGCCUGUGGUCUAAUCUAGCGGUGGUGCCUGUGGUCUAAUCUAGCGGUGGUGCCUGUGGUCUAAUCUAGCGGUGGUGCCUGUUGUCUAAUCUAGCGGUGGUGUCUGUGGUCUAAUCUAGUGGUGGUGCCUGUGGUCUAAUCUAGCGGUGGUGUCUGUGGUCUAAUCUAGUGGUGGUGCCUGUGGUCUAAUCUAGCGGUGUUGUCUAAUCUAGCGGUGUUGUCUAAUCUAGCGGUGUUGUCUGUGGUCUAAUCUAGCGGUGUUGCCUGUGGUCUAAUCUAGCGGUGGUGCCUGUGGUCUAAUCUAGCGGUGGUAUCUGUGGUCUAAUCUAGCGGUGUUGUCUAAUCUAGCGGUGGUGCCUGUGGUCUAAUCUAGCGGUGGUGCCUGUGGUCUAAUCUAGCGGUGGUGCCUGUGGUCUAAUCUAGCGGUGGUGCCUGUUGUCUAAUCUAGCGGUGGUGCCUGUGGUCUAAUCUAGCGGUGGUGCCUGUGGUCUGUGGUGCCUGUGGUCUAAUCUAGCGGUGGUGCCUGUGGUCUAAUCUAGCGGUGGUGCCUGUGGUCUAAUCUAGCGGUGUUGUCUAAUCUAGCGGUGUUCGGUGUUGUCUAAUCUAGCGGUGGUGCCUGUUGUCUAAUCUAGCGGUGUUCGGUGUUGUCUAAUCUAGCGGUGUUGUCUAAUCUAGUGGUGUUGCCUGUUGUCUAAUCUAGCGGUGUUGUCUAAUCUAGCGGUGGUGCCUGUUGUCUAAUCUAGCGGUGGUGCCUGUGGUCUAAUCUAGCGGUGGUGCCUGUGGUCUAAUCUAGCGGUGUUGUCUAAUCUAGCG